GGCAAGAUGGCCGAGCGGUCUAAGGCGCUGGAAUCAGGUGUUUUGUCCGCAAAUUGGAUCAAUCCAGAGGGAGAGCGUAGCACUGUGCACGGAACAAGGGCGCGAGUUCGAAUCUCGCUCUUGUCA